GACGAACCGUGCGAACGUUGUUCGGAAUCACUGGGCUUAAAGGGCGCGUAGGCGGGCUCGCCAGUCAGGGGUGAAAGCCCACGGCUCAACCGUGGAAGUGCCUUUGAUACUGCGAGUCUCGAGCGAGGUAGGGGCGUGCGGAACUUCCGGUGGAGCGGUGAAAUGCGCAGAUAUCAGGAGGAACACCGGUGGCGAAGGCGGGACUCUGGGCCGAUACUGACGCUGAGGAGCGAAAGCGUGGGGAGCAAACAGG
rnacentral:rRNA from 1 species